rnacentral:rRNA from 1 species
AUGACGGAUACUUUAGAGACUGAUAAACAGUUGUGGUCUCGGCUAUGGAAACUCAAGGUAUUGCCCAAAGUUUGUGUCUUCUGGUGGCGUGUUUUACGUGGGAUUUUGCCCGUAGAAAGCACUUUGAAAUAUCGACAUAUAUCCACCGAGAGUAAGUGCAAAAUCUGUUUGCACUCGGACGAGGAUAUGAUGCAUGCUUUAUUGAAUUGUUCCCAUGCGAGAAGGUUCUGGAACGAAGCAACUGAAUGGCUUGAUAUAAAGCGACCAGACUUGCAUCCUCUCACCUGGGCAAAGGACAUUCUUUGUGUCUCCUCAUUUUCAGAGUCGGACAGAGCCAAGAUGAUCUCUGUUAUGUGGUCUAUCUGGACUUCACGCAACAAUAUUACACAUGACAAAGAUGGUUUUGAUCCCGCUCAGGCUAUGAAGUGAAUACGGGAAGCUCUUGCUGUGUUGGAAUUACCUCAAGCGCAUGCAUGUAUCUUGCCCGGUCAUGGGUGGAGACCGCCUGAUGCAGGAUGGAUAAAAAUCAACACUGAUGGUAGUAUUGCUAUGGAAUCCCGUCGAGGAGGAGCUGGAGGGGUGGCUCGAUCAUCGUCUGAGCUUAAGGCUGCAUGGUGUAAGCCCUACACGGGGAUCACGAACCCCCUCCUAGCUGAAGCGUUGGCUCUUCGAGAUGGAGCAAUUUUUGCAAGGCUUCGAGGAUAUGAUCAAGUCAUCUUGGAGACCGGCAGUCUAGAGAUGGUGAAUCUCUGGCACUCACGCCAUGAUCGUUCGGUGGUGGCACCUAUUCUUACUGAGAUUGAGGAGCAUGCCUCUUUUUUUUAA